GCAACACAUAACAUUAAAAAGGGGAAAGGGGAUCAGGUCAUAACAACAAAACCCUAAAAUGUAGCUUAACAAUCGUAUAUCUAGUGCUGGGUUUGAGCACUUCUCCACUUCCUAAGUUUUUGGGUUAAUCAGAGGCACCACUUCCUUCAAACUCGUUGUCCUUCUAAUUCCCACCAAAGAGAAUUACAGAAAGCUGAAACAUGGAAAAAGAAACCGUUUUUUGGCGCUUACAUUUUUUCACAAUUUUGGCUCCAAAAGAAUUUCAGGAUAACCACCAUAUAUAUGAGAAAAUAAACGAAGAAGUUACAUUGGAAAGUGAAGCAGAAUUUCUGCUCCUGAGCAAGAAGACCAGAAUUUUGCAAAUCAAUGGCACCAGGAGGACGUAUCUUCAAACAAACUACACUUACAGGGGAAACUAUUCAAGCUACUCAAUCCCCGGAUGAAUCAAAUAACCUUACUCCCGCUAUUAAUACAGAUGAUUCCCCUAGGACCAGGAAUGGUCGUGGCAAGACUAGAGGGAAAGGUCUUGAAAGAAUGAGGAAGACUAUGGGAAGCAAGAUGAAAAUUGAGAUCCCAUUUGGUAAAGGGAGGCCAACUAAGCCAACUCAAUCGGCAAAAUUAUCCAAUGAACUAGGGAUAAUUGCCAGAAAUUUUCUUUCGCUUUCAAACAAGUGGAAGGAACUCACAAGAGAGGACAAAGAUGCAGCACUAAUUAGAUGCCACGAGAAGUUUGAAAUUGAUUUGGACGAGCAUUACGUGAAAGAUAGUGUUGAGGAUAUUCUGAAAAAUAGAAGCCGACAAUGGUGUUACAAGUUAAAACAGCUAUUUGAAAGUGCACGUUCCGAGGAAGAAGCUCGUAAAAUUGAAGUGCUAGAGUUGACCCGAGAAAAUUGGAAUAAGCUUUGUGACAUGUGGGUUGAUCCAACGCAUAAGGUAAUUUAUAUUCAUGUUAUUCUCCUUGUUAUUUAAGUUACAUAUAUUUAUAUUUUCUUUGUAGAAACGAUGCGAUAUAAACAGGGCCAAUCAAGCUAAGCUUAAAAUUAAUCAUUUUAUGGGGUUAAAAGCGUUUGUACCUGCUCGUGCUGAACUUGCUGAAAACGGAGUAGAGCCUGACAGAAUCGAGUUCUACAAGAGUACUCACUACUCUACUGAAAAAGGAUGGUCAUCUCUAGAGGCUGAGACUAACUAUAACAAUAUGAAAGAUUUGAAAGAUAUAUAUACUUCGGGAGAGCCGGGAGAGCCUUGCAUGACUAUUGAUGAAAUUAUGGAUACUACGCUUUGUACAAAAUCGGGGUACAUUAAAGGUCUCGGUUAUGGUCCGAAACCUGAUACUACAAGAGGCACACAAAGAAGAACGGCAGAAUUAGAAGAUUCCCUUAGAAAGACGAAAGAGGAAGCUGCUAGUGCCCAAAAUGAUUUACAGACACGAUUAAAUGCAGCUGAAAUUGUGGUAGAGACCCAGCAGUCCAAGAUAGAAACCCAGCAGUCCCAGAUAGAAACCCAGCAGUCCCAGAUACAAGCAUUAAAUUCUCAAUUGGUUACUCUAGCAGCACGCCAACAAGAAAUGUUUUAAAAAAUGCAACAUUUUGUUAGCUCAUCGCCAUCAAGGUAUUAAAUGUGGGAAUUGAAUCAAGACUGAUUGCAAGCUGAGUGUCACCACAUUAUUAGUAUUUUGGAAACAACUUGCACUAUCUGUCUUAUUUUAGGAGUAAUAUUUCGUAUAUUUCAGUUGGAUUGAUACUUUGGAAGAAACUGCAUUGUCUGUCUUAGUUUAGGAGUAAUAUUUAGUAUAUUUCAGUUGGAUUUUCUUGUUAUUAGACAAUUUUACUUUUGUUUAGGAGUUUGUAAAGAGAUGUGAUCUCAGUACAAUUUUAGUUGUUCUUAAUUGUAUGAUCAUGGGUGAAUUGUAUUAUUAUCUGGUAUGUUUUAUUAUUUUAUUUUCAA